rnacentral:lncRNA from 1 species
CGCCAAAAACAUGGUGUAAAAGAUAAAUAUGUUCAUACAUAUUUUAAAUAAGAUAACUGAAAUAUAAAAUUACUUUUACAAUUACACGUGGGCCCCUAUUUAUCAAGAAAGUGUAAGGCUACAAACGCUUACUUUCUAGGAUGCAACUCCGAGAUUAAUUCUCGUCUUAAUCAACUAUCAACAAACUGUCCUGAGCCUGAAAAAUGGAUAGAAAGAGGGGUGAGAUUAUGAUUACAUAAUCUCAGUGAGUAGACAAACACCAUCUAAACUAUCUAAAGGCGAGUAAAAGGAGACAAAUAAAAAUAAUUCAUUUUAGCAAAUUUUUCACAACACGAAUAUUCAUUUCAACCAAAUAAUCAAUAUGGCUAGUGAAUUUCUCAAAACUUGACUCAUUCCAAAUCCUGUACUCAGGGACACCUGGACUAGGGGUAUCCAACCGAGUCUGCCAAGGCUGUGAAAAAUUUUAUAUAAUCAUAAAACUUGUUUUUAUUUUGAAAAAAAGUAGUAGUUCCUUGGCGUUGACUGAGUCUCACUUCACGUUGUGGUUAACGUGAAGUGCACUCAAAAAGCCCACCUCAGGAGAUACCUUACGCCUCUCUACGACCAAGGUGAGAAGAUAAAGGAGUUUACCUUGCCCCUCUAAUAAGCUGAUCCACGAAACCCCUCCACUGCAGUAGCUAAUCUUUAUUUUAUCUACCACCUGAUUUAUAAAAUCCUUAUCUGCAUGACAUGGUAAUUUAUCGUAAUCUAGCCUCUCAAGGCUGAAUACAUAGUAUAUAUAAUUUUGAUACAAAUACCGUCUUUGCCAUUCAUGCUUACAUAUUGUUAUAAGCCAUAUAAUUUAAAACACAAUUUAUAACACAAGCAGGCAGUCUCCAAUUACUUUAUUUUCAAAACCAGUAUUCAAUUUUUCAGAAAAUUUAUAAAAUCAUUUUAUAAAAUCACAAUUUCUUCUAAAACAUAGCAAUUUACCAUUUAAACCCAUUUUUAAUAAAAUCACACAAUUGUAUAAAACUACUCUAGAUAAUUAAGACGAUAAUAAGUUUACUCACAGUAUUAGGAGUAAAAAUACUCAUAUUUUCAGUCCGCGAGUACAGUCCUUUACUCGUAUCCAAUGGCUCACCACCUAGCCAUAAUCCAUGACACAUAUUCUAAUUAAAUUGUGUCUAACAGUCAUAAGCUAUUUUAGGCUCGAUAUAUAUGCAUGAUAUGAAAUGAAAAAUGCACGGGUAGCCAUCUAGACUCGGUAUUGGCCUAAGUUGAUUUUUCAUCCGAUAAAUUGGCCAAUGCAUCCAAUUUCACUC